AUCAGCGAGUCCACAACUUUGUUCCCCAUCUGUUUUCGUUGCAAUUGGUAUAAGUUAGUACGCAGCUGGGGAUGAUCCCGAGAUUGUACCGUAUAUUAGCCAGUCUGCAGCUUAGUGCACAGCUCCGUACUGAAUCUACAAUUUUUCUUUUUCUCUGUGCAAAUCCCGCUUAUUAUUUCGCUCGGGUCGGAGAGCCGGUUACCGUCCCCUGUGUCUUCGAUUGGAAACUCGAAUCUGCAGAUCUGCUCCGCUGUUUCCGAGACAACGCAAGCGGAGGACUGAGCGAGCCGUUCCCUGGUGAAUGCGGAGAUCCGGGCUCCCAAUGCAGGAUCACCCGCACCGUAGAGAGCAAUAGAGUCACGCUAACAAUACGGGACACGCAGAGAAACGAUAGCGGGCGAUAUUACUGCGCUGAAGUGAGUGGCAGCUCUCUGAGAUUCUCAAACGCGUCCGUUGUGAUCGUGUCUGGAGAUGAUUCCUCUGUGAAUCCGUCAGUGUCUAUCCUGCCCCCCCUGGCUGUCUCCGGCAGCGCGCCCGAUUCCAAGGCGACCCUGACAUUAGUGUGUCUAAUCCGGGGCCUCUCCUCGCCCUCGGUCCGGGUCCGGUGGUUCAUCUCCGGUAACUUCACGGCGGAGGGAACGCCGAGCUCCGGGAUCAAAGUGAAGGAGGGCGGAGAGGGACAGGGAGACGGAGAGAACUACGCCGCUACAAGCCGCCUGACAAUCCCAGUGGAGACGUGGAGAAGCGGGGCUGAGUGCGCAUGCGAAGCACAGCUGGACUGGAACACUUCUAUCCGCAGCGGGAAUGUUUCAUACGCUGGGAUUCACGGGGCGGGUCUGGUUGCAGAGCGGUGCCUGGUUCAGUACGCCGUGUUCUCCGGGGUCUCCCUCCUCGCGCUCUCCGCGGCUCUCUGCGGCUGCGCGCUGUGGACCCGCCGCCGCUUCAAACCAGCGUCCACUGAAGACUCCACGCGUGUAAUUUACAAAAGGACCCCCGGCAGCGGAGAUACAAAGAGGAGAGAUGAAGAGGACAACCUGGUCACCUACGCGAGCUUGGAGUUUGAAUCCCAGAAGAAGAACAGAAAGAAGAGACGCAUAUAAUAAUAAUAAUAAUAAUAAUAAUAAUAAUAAUAAUAAUAAUAAUAAUAAUAAUAAUGAAUCCUUUGGAGUGUUUUGAUGUUAGUUUUGCGCCUUGAUAUAAUUUUUCAACAGUAGUUUUUAUUUUUUUCUUGCUUGCUUGUGAUUUGUAACGGAUGCAAAGUUCAAACGAUUAAUAUCUGUUUAAAAUGAUCAUUAUCAGGGGGAGUCUGAUGGUCAGCUGUCCUCAGACCCCAUUCCUCACCUCCAAGUUUUGAAUCGUUUUCCAAACUGGCCAAACAUUUUGCAACACCCUGUAGAAUUAACAAAUGUCGACUUCAUAAAGUCGAAUGAAACCGGCUGAAUAAUGAAUCAUAUUUAAUUACACACCGCUUUGUUAUUUUCCCAUACAAACUGACAAAAAGUUGAAAAAUGUGACAUUUCAAAAUCUAACAUGAAAUAAUAUACCAGUAUUACGGCUUCCUAAUGGUAGACUUUUUUUCUAUAUCAUUUAAUAGUUUCUUUGAUGACAUGAUGUUAAAUAAAAGAGGUAAACUAUGUUCAUAUAGCUUUUUUAAAAAUAAUAUCUCAGUCCUAAAAUUCUAGAUGAGGCAAAACUUUUGCCCAGAGCUGCACACAGAACUGAACCUGUUUUAACCCUUCGAGGUACACAAGGAAUCAAGCGCUUGCUGUUCAAAUAGUUUCUUCUUAAAAAAUACCUUUGAGAGCGACUCAGGAAUCACGAGGAGGAAACUGUCCAUUUGGACGAUCAGAUCCAGUCUGACACUUCAUUUUAAACCCCGCUGUUUCGUGCACCUCGUUGCAAACAAUAAGAAAGCGCGCAUCGUUUCUAUUCGUGGGACGCACGUGUUCCUUCUACCUUAAAAGGCUCGUGCGUUUCUCUGAGAUUUCUCAUUGGUUUAUCAGAUUUGAUGGACAGUUAUUGGAAUUGUAAUAGAAAUAUCAAUGGGCUGGAAUAAGCCAUGCUGGUGCAAAUAUAACACGUGGUGUUUAUUUAGCCUUUGAAGAAGACCCUCUGAAAUUGUAUAGAAACUGUCUCUAUAUCAAAACUCUGUUGCGUGAAAUUACGCCAGCAUGUUCUUCAUUAUUAAAAAAUAAAUAAAAAAUACAUCAAUAAACUUGAU